UAUAUACUCCCCCCGUCCAGAAUUACCUGCAGCACGAAUGGAUAGAAAUGGAUGUAUCUUAGAAUUAAAAUACGUCUAGUUACAUUCAUUUCUGCGACAAGUAAUUCCGGACGGAGGGUGUAUUUA
rfam:Triticum aestivum genome assembly, contig: Triticum_aestivum_CS42_TGACv1_scaffold_556667_7AL